UCUCAGUUCGGAUUGUAGGCUGCAACUCGCCUACAUGAAGUUGGAAUCGCUAGUAAUCGCGAAUCAGAAUGUCGCGGUGAAUACGUUCCCGGGUCUUGUACACACCGCCCGUCACACCACGAGAGUUUACAACACCCGAAGUCAGUGGCCUAACCGCAAGGAGGGAGCUGCCUAAGGUGGGGUAGAUGAUUGGGGUGAAGUCGUAACAAGGUACC
rnacentral:rRNA from 1 species